rnacentral:lncRNA from 1 species
CUCUUCUUCAAGAAAUUAUUUACCUCGGAAUCAAGUUUAAACUCGGUUCUUGCAGGUUCAGAUUUACACCUAGUAAGAACUACAGGAUGUGGUGCUUCAUCCCCCUCUCCAUUUUCUCUUUUCUUCAACCCUUCAAUGUUUUCUGUUUUGUUCAUUGAACCAAUUCUACCUCUGAGUAGUGAAUCCUCAAGCUCUUUGAAAAAUUCCACCUUUUCUUCAUUUUCAGAUACCCUUUUCCCUUCUUCAUCAGAAACUGGGUUUCUCUCCAUAUGGGGUCUCUCAUUUUCUGAGGAACUGGAUCCUCUGUUUUCAAUUUCAUUCCCCUGUUUUUCCUCUGUUUCUUCUUCAGUUCUUAACGGUGAACCCCAAAAUCUACUUGCUAAAGAAGAAGAUCUAUAAGGUUCGGAUCUACAACGAGUUAAUAACAAAGCAUUACUUGGUGGGGUGCAAGUUUUUGAAGCAAAAGAAGAAGCAUCGUCACCAUUCAUUACUCUCUCUUCAUGUUCUUGUUCAUCUUCAUCUUCUUCUUUUUCUUCUUCAUGCUCUGCUUCUAACUCUGUUUUUGUUGAACCUUCUUUCAUCUUUGAAGAUUUUCUUCUGAACCUUCCAACCCUAAACAAGAAACCCCAUUUAAGCCAAACGGGUUGACAAUGACAAAGUUUGAUUUUUUGAAAAUCACUUUUUCGGAUCCACACGCACCGGCACCGUGUCGGAGCACCAUCUUUUGCGGCGGCGCGUGGUGUUCUAUUUGGUUGUUUAGAUUUAGAGGGACGUUUAACUCUAACUUGACCCAUGCAUGUGACUUUAGGUGAAGUAGGUUCUUGUGUAGUUUCAAUGAUUGUGUUUUUCUUCCUUACAAACAUUGUUCUAGAGUUUGACCUUGACCUUCCUCUGCUUCUGCUUCCAACAUUGCUUCUCAAGAAUCUCAUCAAUGGUGGUGGAAACUUAUCUGUUCUACCCGGACUUGAAAUGGGUUUUGUUGGUAGCUUCAUUUUGUUAUUGUUUCUUCUUCUAUGUUGUUCUUUUUUUCACUUUCUCUAUGUUGAUGUUAUGUUUAGGAAAAUGUUGGGUGUGGCUAUUAAUGUUGUUUUGUGAAAUGCAAUGAAGAUAUGGUGUGGUUGGGUUAGGGAGAUUUGUCUUUCUG